UACGGAGGGUGCGAGCGUUGUCCGGAAUCACUGGGCGUAAAGGGCGCGUAGGCGGCGCGGGCAGUCAACGGUGAAAGCUCGGGGCUCAACCCCGAGUCGGCCGUCGAUACUCCCGUGCUUGAGCACUGUAGAGGCAGGUGGAAUUCCGGGUGUAGCGGUGGAAUGCGUAGAGAUCCGGAAGAACACCGGUGGCGAAGGCGGCCUGCUGGGCAGUAGCUGACGCUGAGGCGCGACAGCGUGGGGGAGCAAACAGG
rnacentral:rRNA from 1 species